ACAGACAGACAGACAGACAGACAGACAGACAGGAGGACGUGAAUGAGGACCACUUGAGGGAAAGGCUGGCCUGACUGCCCUCCGUGCUUACUUGUGUUUCUCUUCAACCGAGGGCUUGCGCUGAUUUGAACUGUAAAGUGAAACAGGACCAAGCUGAUUGCUGGAAUAUGAUGAAGUAGCUGUAAUGUGAUAUGAUAUUCUACUGCAUUUACUGAAGACAGUUAGGUAUGCCUGUCUGCUCAAAAGUAGCUACACCGUCAGGCAACAGGAGAGCAAUGGACCUUGGUAAUUGACUCCGCCAUCCUGUUUUUCCACAACCAGCAACAUAUACAAAAAAUGUGAUUUGAAAAUACAUGUAUUUAUUUAUUAUAGCUUCAGCACCUCAAGUAGGCCAUUAUGAGGUUGGCUAGUGUGCAUAAAGUUAUUCUGUGAGGCCUUCAUUUGUACUUUGUAUUAUUUUAUUCUUGCAUUUUUAUGUCUCGCUGUGCUUUUUAAAUAAUUGUGUUAUGUCCACUGUACUGUCCUGUCUGCAGUAUUGAAUGUAUCUGUUUCAAGCUCUUGGUGCAGAACAAAUUCCCUUCGGGGCAAUAAAGGUUUCAUUCAUUCAUCGACCCAGGAAAAUAAAGGUACAUCAUCACUCUAUAAUGCCAGGAAUCUCGUGUCUGUCUGAACCCUAACCCAUUUUGUAAAGUGUACGAUCAACUGCACGGUAAUGAAACC